rnacentral:rRNA from 1 species
AAUACAUGCAAGUCGAGCGGACUUGAUGAGAAGCUUGCUUCUCUGAUACUUAGCGGCGGACGGGUGAGUAACACGUAGGCAACCUGCCCUCAAGUUUGGGACAACUACCGGAAACGGUAGCUAAUACCGAAUAAUUGUUUUCUUCGCCUGAAGGAAACUGGAAAGACGGAGCAAUCUGUCACUUGGGGAUGGGCCUGCGGCGCAUUAGCUAGUUGGUGGGGUAACGGCUCACCAAGGCGACGAUGCGUAGCCGACCUGAGAGGGUGAUCGGCCACACUGGGACUGAGACACGGCCCAGACUCCUACGGGAGGCAGCAGUAGGGAAUCUUCCGCAAUGGGCGAAAGCCUGACGGAGCAAUGCCGCGUGAGUGAUGAAGGUUUUCGGAUCGUAAAGCUCUGUUGCCAGGGAAGAACGCUUGGGAGAGUAACUGCUCUCAAGGUGACGGUACCUGAGAAGAAAGCCCCGGCUAACUACGUGCCAGCAGCCGCGGUAAUACGUAGGGGGCAAGCGUUGUCCGGAAUUAUUGGGCGUAAAGCGCGCGCAGGCGGUCAUUUAAGUCUGGUGUUUAAUCCCGGGGCUCAACCCCGGAUCGCACUGGAAACUGGGUGACUUGAGUGCAGAAGAGGAGAGUGGAAUUCCACGUGUAGCGGUGAAAUGCGUAGAUAUGUGGAGGAACACCAGUGGCGAAGGCGACUCUCUGGGCUGUAACUGACGCUGAGGCGCG